UGAACUCGUGUGCCUUGUCUC
rnacentral:siRNA from 1 species